AACAUCCAGUUUUAACCAGAUCAGUUCAGCUGAAGUAACUAAACGUAUGAUUGAAAUGACUCUGUACAAGUCAUGAUGAAAGUCCAAUGGAGGAAAAUGCCAACAUGAAGAGUGGAUAAUUUUGACAGCCAUAGUUAUUUGGUGUUGUGUCAAAAACAAAAUCAAGAAGUGGACGAUACAAGUGCCAAAAUGUCACCCUAUACUCACAAAUACAAAGAAGAGGACGCCAGGUUAAUAUCUGCUGAACUAUCCAGUAAUAGAUCAGACAAUUCUUUGGAGGGAAAACUGCAGAAGAAUGUGUCCUUUAACAAGUUCAAGCCAACAGAUAUUACCAUUUUCAUUGACAAGCAGGAUGAAGUUGUGCCAGCAUUGCACAGCAACAUGACCUUAGAUUCGGAGAAACCGAAAAAUCGAGCACGCCUAAUGUUUAUCAUAACAUUGCUAUUUAUAUUGCUUUUGGUAUGUAUAGUUAUCAUAUCUGCAGUCAGACAAUUUACCAGUGGUGACGAUGAGUCAUUUGACCACACGAAUGAAAAUAUGGUCUAUCAUUAUA